UACGAAGGGGGCUAGCGUUGCUCGGAAUCACUGGGCGUAAAGGGUGCGUAGGCGGGUCUUUUAGUCAGGGGUGAAAUCCUGGAGCUCAACUCCAGAACUGCCUUUGAUACUGAGGAUCUUGAGUUCGGGAGAGGUGAGUGGAACUGCGAGUGUAGAGGUGAAAUUCGUAGAUAUUCGCAAGAACACCAGUGGCGAAGGCGGCUCACUGGCCCGAUACUGACGCUGAGGCGCGAAGGCGUGGGGAGCGAACGGG
rnacentral:rRNA from 1 species